CUACGGGCGGCAGCAGUGGGGAAUAUUGCACAAUGGAGGAAACUCUGAUGCAGCAACGCCGCGUGGAGGAUGACACUUUUCGGAGCGUAAACUCCUUUUAUAUAGGAAGAAGAUGACGGUACUAUAUGAAUAAGCGCCGGCUAACUCCGUGCCAGCAGCCGCGGUAAUACGGAGGGCGCAAGCGUUACUCGGAAUCACUGGGCGUAAAGAGCGUGUAGGCGGAUUAAAAAGUCAGAAGUGAAAUCCUAUAGCUUAACUAUAGAACUGCUUCUGAAACUCUUAAUCUAGAAUAUGGGAGAGGUAGAUGGAAUUUCUGGUGUAGGGGUAAAAUCUGUAGAGAUCAGAAGGAAUACCGAUUGCGAAGGCGAUCUACUAGAACAUUAUUGACGCUGAGACGCGAAAGCGUGGGGAGCAAACAGGAUUAGACACCCCGGUAGUC
rnacentral:rRNA from 1 species